AGCGAACGCUGGCGGCAGGCUUAACACAUGCAAGUCGAGCGGGCACUUUCGGGUGUCAGCGGCGGACGGGUGAGUAACGCGUGGGAACGUGCCCUCUGGUUCGGAAUAACUCAGGGAAACUUGAGCUAAUACCGGAUACGCCCUUUUGGGGAAAGGCUUGCUGCCGGAGGAUCGGCCCGCGUCUGAUUAGCUAGUUGGUGAGGUAACGGCUCACCAAGGCGACGAUCAGUAGCUGGUCUGAGAGGAUGAUCAGCCACACUGGGACUGAGACACGGCCCAGACUCCUACGGGAGGCAGCAGUGGGGAAUAUUGGACAAGGGGCGCAAGCCUGAUCCAGCCAUGCCGCGUGAGUGAUGAAGGCCUUAGGGUUGUAAAGCUCUUUUAUCCGGGACGAUAAUGACGGUACCGGAGGAAUAAGCCCCGGCUAACUUCG
rnacentral:rRNA from 1 species